GACGCUGGCGGCGUGCUUAACACAUGCAAGUCGAACGAUGAAGCCGAGCUUGCUCGGUGGAUUAGUGGCGAACGGGUGAGUAACACGUGAGCAACCUGCCCUUGAGUUGGGGAUAGCCAUUAGAAAUAGUGGAUAAUACCGAAUACGAUCGCGACACUCUGGUGAUGCGAUGAAAGGAGCUACGGCUCCGCUCGAGGAUGGGCCCGCGUCCCAUUAGCUAGUUGGUGAGGUAACGGCCCACCAAGGCGACGAUGGGUAUCCGGCCUGAGAGGGUGUACGGACACAUUGGGACUGAGACACGGCCCAGACUCCUACGGGAGGCAGCAGUGGGGAAUUUUGGACAAUGGGCGAAAGCCUGAUCCAGCCAUGCCGCGUGAGUGAAGAAGGCCUUCGGGUUGUAAAGCUCUUUCGGCUGGGAAGAAAUCGCACAGGCUAAUACUCUGUGUGGAUGACGGUACCAGCACAAGAAGCACCGGCUAACUACGUG
rnacentral:rRNA from 1 species